CCUGCUUCCGCAGCCUGGCGCCAGGCGCCUCUGAGCGAUGCCCCCUAAGCCGUCAGCAGCCCUCCCUGCAGAGGCUUCAGACACCCCAGGAGCUGGGGAGACCAUUUUCAGGUCCUCUGGGGUCCUGGUUUGGGUGUGGGGACAGAAGCCCCUCACGAAGGACUUCCCAGGCAGCCGCUCCAGGUGGGGGAGGGUCCAGCCCACAAGGUAUUGCCGGAAGAACACUCACUCCCGGCCAUACUUGCGUGUGAGUUCUGACCCCUGGAGGAGCCACUGUGGAAUCAGAGCAAUCGCCAUGGAGUUUGUGAUGAAGCAGGCCCUAGGAGGUA
rnacentral:lncRNA from 1 species